CCUACGGGGUGCAGCAGUGGGGAAUAUUGCACAAUGUGGGAAACCCUGAUGCAGCAACGCCGCGUGAAGGAAGACGGUUUUCGGAUUGUAAACUUCUAUCAAUAGGGAAGAAAGAAAUGACGGUACCUAAAUAAGAAGCCCCGGCUAACUACGUGCCAGCAGCCGCGGUAAUACGUAGGGGGCAAGCGUUAUCCGGAAUUACUGGGUGUAAGGGGAGAGUAGGCGGCAAGGUAAGCGAUAUGUGAAAGCCUUAAGCUUAACUUAAGGAUGGCAUAACGAACUAUCUAGCUAGAGUACAGGAGAGGAAAGCGGAAUUCCUAGUGUAGCGGUGAAAUGCGUAGAUAUUAGGAAGAACACCAGUGGCGAAGGCGGCUUUCUGGACUGAAACUGACGCUGAGGCUCGAAAGCGUGGGGAGCGAACAGGAUUAGAUACCCCUGUAGUC
rnacentral:rRNA from 1 species